GAUGAAGAACGCAGCGAAAUGCGAUACUUGGUGUGAAUUGCAGAAUCCCGUGAACCAUCGAGUCUUUGAACGCAAGUUGCGCCCGAAGCCAUUAGGCCGAGGGCACGCCUGCCUGGGCGUCACACGUCGUUGCCCCCCCAUCUACUCCUUCGGGAUUGCGGGGGGCGGAUGAUGGCCUCCCGUGCGCCUCGUCGCGCGGUUGGCAUAAAUGCCAAGUCCUCGGCGACACACGCCACGACAAUCGGUGGUUGCGAAACCUCGGUUGCCCGUCGUGUGCGGUCGUCGCGCAUCGAGGGCUCGAAAAAAUUGCCGGGCUCCGGCUCGGCUUUCAACGCGACCCCAGGUCAGGCGGGGUUACCCGCUGAAUUUAAGCAUAUCAAUAAGCGGAGGA
rnacentral:misc_RNA from 1 species